CGGAUGUAGCCAAGUGGAUCAAG
rnacentral:tRNA from 1 species